GAUAGGAAUAUCACACAAUGAAACAGAGAUGGACAAGGAUUUCACCUUGAAAUACAUCAGUGAUAACUUACUAGAGGAAAGGGAUCGUCUGUUCCCGUUAAUGCUUCAAUACAAGGCAAUGGACCUGAAAUGAGCUAACUAGAAAUGACCGCUGUUUGACGGUAGCGUUGUUUUAGUUUUACAUUUCUUCGAGACACGGAUAGGCUGCCCUACUCGUUUUGCAUCACUCAGUUGGAAUUAUUUAUUCUCUUUAUUUGGCCAGCUGUGCACUAAUAAAACAGGUUUGGGAUUGUUGAUUGCUGGUUAUAGGAAUCGGCAAUAACGUCGAAAAGUCGGACACGAGGACCUACAAAUACAGCUUGUAAAUGAACAAUAAGCAAAAAAGACACUAGCAAAUACUGCUUUGUUACUUUUUACUGUUUCAUCUCCUAGCAAACAAUUGGUAUACACAAUAAUUAAAGGAUAAUUAUUAUUGAUGAAA